ACGCAACUGGCGCUAGCUGGAACUCCAGCUAGCAUGCUUGUUUCAGUGUCUUUUUCUUUCCUAACCGAAAUCAUAAUGCGAGAGAUACCCUUCUCUUGUUAAACAUGAAAGCACUCUGCGCUCUGCGAGCGACUUUGAUUCGUCAUGGUUCGCACUCAAUGCAGCAGUCACAUUGUUUACAGUGUGAACUCAUUGAGAGUGGAGGCAGCGCGGCCUUACAGCUGCAAGUGCUUAGACACUCAAACUUUUCUUGUAUCUGAAAUCAAGCAGGACCACCCGCUGAACUUAAGCAUAUCAAUAAGCGGAGG
rnacentral:rRNA from 1 species